AUUGAACGCUGGCGGCAUGCUUUACACAUGCAAGUCGAACGGUAACAGGCCGCAAGGUGCUGACGAGUGGCGAACGGGUGAGUAAUGCAUCGGAACGUGCCCAGUCGUGGGGGAUAACGCAGCGAAAGCUGCGCUAAUACCGCAUACGAUCUAUGGAUGAAAGCGGGGGACCGUAAGGCCUCGCGCGAUUGGAGCGGCCGAUGUCAGAUUAGGUAGUUGGUGGGGUAAAGGCUCACCAAGCCAACGAUCUGUAGCUGGUCUGAGAGGACGACCAGCCACACUGGGACUGAGACACGGCCCAGACUCCUACGGGAGGCAGCAGUGGGGAAUUUUGGACAAUGGGCGCAAGCCUGAUCCAGCAAUGCCGCGUGCAGGAAGAAGGCCUUCGGGUUGUAAACUGCUUUUGUCAGGGAAGAAAUCUUCUGGGCUAAUACCCCGGGAGGAUGACGGUACCUGAAGAAUAAGCACCGGCUAACUACGUGCCAGCCGCCGCGGUAAAAC
rnacentral:rRNA from 1 species